UUGGAAAGAGGAGUGGCGGACGGGUGAGUAACACGUGGGUAACCUACCCAUCAGAGGGGGAUAACACUUGGAAACAGGUGCUAAUACCGCAUAACAGUUUAUGCCGCAUGGCAUAAGAGUGAAAGGCGCUUUCGGGUGUCGCUGAUGGAUGGACCCGCGGUGCAUUAGCUAGUUGGUGAGGUAACGGCUCACCAAGGCCACGAUGCAUAGCCGACCUGAGAGGGUGAUCGGCCACACUGGGACUGAGACACGGCCCAGACUCCUACGGGAGGCAGCAGUAGGGAAUCUUCGGCAAUGGACGAAAGUCUGACCGAGCAACGCCGCGUGAGUGAAGAAGG
rnacentral:rRNA from 1 species